AGAGUUUGAUCAUGGCUCAGAUUGAACGCUGGCGGCAGGCCUAACACAUGCAAGUCGAACGGUAACAGGAAGCAGCUUGCUGCUUUGCUGACGAGUGGCGGACGGGUGAGUAAUGUCUGGGAAACUGCCUGAUGGAGGGGGAUAACUACUGGAAACGGUAGCUAAUACCGCAUAACGUCGCAAGACCAAAGAGGGGGACCUUCGGGCCUCUUGCCAUCGGAUGUGCCCAGAUGGGAUUAGCUAGUAGGUGGGGUAAAGGCUCACCUAGGCGACGAUCCCUAGCUGGUCUGAGAGGAUGACCAGCCACACUGGAACUGAGACACGGUCCAGACUCCUACGGGAGGCAGCAGUGGGGAAUAUUGCACAAUGGGCGCAAGCCUGAUGCAGCAACGCCGCGUGAGGGAAGACGGUUUUCGGAUUGUAAACCUCUGUCUUUGGUGACGAAGAAGUGACGGUAGCCAAGGAGGAAGCCACGGCUAACUACGUGCCAGCAGCCGCGGUAAUACGUAGGUGGCAAGCGUUGUCCGGAUUUACUGGGUGUAAAGGGCGUGUAGGCGGAGAUGCAAGUUGGGAGUGAAAUCCAUGGGCUCAACCCAUGAACUGCUCUCAAAACUGUAUCCCUUGAGUAUCGGAGAGGCAAGCGGAAUUCCUAGUGUAGCGGUGAAAUGCGUAGAUAUUAGGAGGAACACCAGUGGCGAAGGCGGCUUGCUGGACGACAACUGACGCUGAGGCGCGAAAGCGUGGGGAGCAAACAGGAUUAGAUACCCUGGUAGUCCACGCCGUAAACGAUGUCGACUUGGAGGUUGUGCCCUUGAGGCGUGGCUUCCGGAGCUAACGCGUUAAGUCGACCGCCUGGGGAGUACGGCCGCAAGGUUAAAACUCAAAUGAAUUGACGGGGGCCCGCACAAGCGGUGGAGCAUGUGGUUUAAUUCGAUGCAACGCGAAGAACCUUACCUGGUCUUGACAUCCACGGAAGUUUUCAGAGAUGAGAAUGUGCCUUCGGGAACCGUGAGACAGGUGCUGCAUGGCUGUCGUCAGCUCGUGUUGUGAAAUGUUGGGUUAAGUCCCGCAACGAGCGCAACCCUUAUCCUUUGUUGCCAGCGGUCCGGCCGGGAACUCAAAGGAGACUGCCAGUGAUAAACUGGAGGAAGGUGGGGAUGACGUCAAGUCAUCAUGGCCCUUACGACCAGGGCUACACACGUGCUACAAUGGCGCAUACAAAGAGAAGCGACCUCGCGAGAGCAAGCGGACCUCAUAAAGUGCGUCGUAGUCCGGAUUGGAGUCUGCAACUCGACUCCAUGAAGUCGGAAUCGCUAGUAAUCGUGGAUCAGAAUGCCACGGUGAAUACGUUCCCGGGCCUUGUACACACCGCCCGUCACACCAUGGGAGUGGGUUGCAAAAGAAGUAGGUAGCUUAACCUUCGGGAGGGCGCUUACCACUUUGUGAUUCAUGACUGGGGUGAAGUCGUAACAAGGUAACCGUAGGGGAACCUGCGGUUG
rnacentral:rRNA from 1 species